rnacentral:rRNA from 1 species
AUUGAACGCUGGCGGCAGGCCUAAUACAUGCAAGUCGAACGGGUAACAUAAAAGAAGCUUGCUUCUUUUGAUGACGAGUGGCGGACGGGUGAGUAAUAUUUGGGAAACUACCUGAUAGAGGGGGGACAACAGUUGGAAACGACUGCUAAUACCGCAUAAAGCCUAAGGGUGAAAGCAGCAAUGCGCUAUCAGAUGUGCCCAAACGGGAUUAGCUAGUAGGUGAGGUAAAGGCUCACCUAGGCGACGAUCUCUAGCUGGUCUGAGAGGAUGAUCAGCCACAUUGGGACUGAGACACGGCCCAGACUCCUACGGGAGGCAGCAGUAGGGAAUAUUGCACAAUGGAGGAAACUCUGAUGCAGCCAUGCCGCGUGUGUGAAGAAGGCCUUCGGGUUGUAAAGCACUUUCGGAGGGGAGGAAAAGAUGACGUUACCCUCAGAAGAAGCACCGGCUAACUCCGUG